rnacentral:rRNA from 1 species
UACGUAGGGUGCAAGCGUUAAUCGGAAUUACUGGGCGUAAAGCGUGACGCAGGCGGUUCUAUAAGACAGAUGUGAAAUCCCCGGGCUCAACCCUGGGAACUGCAUUUGUGACUGUAGAGCUGGAGUACGGCAGAGGGGGAUGGAAUUCCGCGUGUAGCAGUGAAAUGCGUAGAUAUGCGGAGGAACACCGAUGGCGAAGGCAAUCCCCUGGGCCUGUACUGACGCUCAUGCACGAAAGCGUGGGGAGCAA